GAUGGAUCAAAUUAGGACUGUUCUAGGUGGAUGGAAUGGAGUGGCUGGGUACGAGAAGCAAUGUAAGUUGAUAGCUAAGUGUGUUGCUAUUCUACUACAAUCGGGCUUGGAGAGGAGCCCAACGGGAUAAAAGAUGAACUCCUUAUUGCUGAUAACAUGCUCAAAACAAGCUAGAGAUUUGAAGUGGAGCUUGGGCAUUGGAUAGUAUUUUGGUAUGGCAUUGCUAGCUGAGACACUAAGAAUUGAAUAUAACGCACCAUGUUUGCAAGUCUUGAAAGUGAUGAGGAUGAGAUGGAGGGAAGAGGGG
rnacentral:lncRNA from 1 species